rnacentral:rRNA from 1 species
GGGGAAUUUUGGACAAUGGGGGCAACCCUGAUCCAGCCAUGCCGCGUGAGUGAAGAAGGCCUUCGGGUUGUAAAGCUCUUUCGGCCGGGACGAAAUCGCACGGGCUAAUACCCUGUGUGGAUGACGGUACCGGAAUAAGAAGCACCGGCUAACUACGUGCCAGCAGCCGCGGUAAUACGUAGGGUGCGAGCGUUAAUCGGAAUUACUGGGCGUAAAGCGUGCGCAGGCGGUUUGAUAAGACAGGCGUGAAAUCCCCGGGCUUAACCUGGGAACUGCGCUUGUGACUGUCUCACUAGAGUACGGCAGAGGGGGGUGGAAUUCCACGUGUAGCAGUGAAAUGCGUAGAGAUGUGGAGGAACACCGAUGGCGAAGGCAGCCCCCUGGGCCGAUACUGACGCUCAUGCACGAAAGCGUGGGGAGCAAAC